rnacentral:rRNA from 1 species
CUUGAACGCUGGCGGCAGGCCUAACACAUGCAAGUCGAGCGCGCGGCGGACGGGUGAGUAAUGUCUGGGAACCUGCCUGAUGGAGUGGGAUAACUCCUGGAAACGGUAUCUAAUACCGCAUACCAUCAGAUGUUCCCAGAUGGGAUUAGCUAGUAGGUGUGGUAACGGCGCACCUAGGCGACGAUCCCUAGAUGCUCUGAGAGGAUGACCAGCCACAAUGGGACUGAGACACGGUCCAGACUCCGACGGGAGGCAGCAGUGGGGAAGAUUGCACAAGGGGCGAAAGCCUGAUGCAGCCAUGCCGCGUGUGUGAAGAAGGCCUUCGGGUUGUAAAGUACUUUCAGCGGGGAGGCGUUACCCGCAGAAGAAGCACCGGCUAACUCCGUGCCAGCAGCCGCGGUAAUAC